rnacentral:rRNA from 1 species
GAUGAACGCUGGCGGCGUGCCUAAUACAUGCAAGUCGAGCGAACGGACGAGAAGCUUGCUUCUCUGAUGUUAGCGGCGGACGGGUGAGUAACACGUGGAUAACCUACCUAUAAGACUGGGAUAACUUCGGGAAACCGGAGCUAAUACCGGAUAAUAUUUUGAACCGCAUGGUUCAAAAGUGAAAGACGGUCUUGCUGUCACUUAUAGAUGGAUCCGCGCUGCAUUAGCUAGUUGGUAAGGUAACGGCUUACCAAGGCAACGAUGCAUAGCCGACCUGAGAGGGUGAUCGGCCACACUGGAACUGAGACACGGUCCAGACUCCUACGGGAGGCAGCAGUAGGGAAUCUUCCGCAAUGGGCGAAAGCCUGACGGAGCAACGCCGCGUGAGUGAUGAAGGUCUUCGGAUCGUAAAACUCUGUUAUUAGGGAAGAACAUAUGUGUAGGUAACUGUGCACAUCCUGACGGUACCUAAUCAGAAAGCCACGGCUAACUACGUG